GGUAAUACCAUUUAUUAUUUGAAGGGGUGUUCAUUGAAAAUUUACUCAAAUAAUUAACUGGUACAGACUACGAUCAGCCUGCAUUGAUGUACGUACAGACUAAUCUUGGUCUACACUGGUCACAAAGGCAGAAUCACUUGCCAGCAGCAGGCUAAGGUUAAACGUAACAUAUAUCAGAGUGCAACUUCUUUAUGAUUAACUAGCUAUAUAAGUUAUAUCUUCUACAUGUAUUUGAAAUUUCUUUUUUAAGCCAGUUUUCAUUGUAUGGUAUAUGCAUUUUUUUCCACGAAAACAA
rnacentral:lncRNA from 1 species